rnacentral:rRNA from 1 species
GAGUUUGAUCGUGGCUCAGGAUGAACGCUGGCGGCGUGCCUAAUACAUGCAAGUCGAGCGAACGGACGAGAAGCUUGCUUCUCUGAUGUUAGCGGCGGACGGGUGAGUAACACGUGGAUAACCUACCUAUAAGACUGGGAUAACUUCGGGAAACCGGAGCUAAUACCGGAUAAUAUUUUGAACCGCAUGGUUCAAAAGUGAAAGACGGUCUUGCUGUCACUUAUAGAUGGAUCCGCGCUGCAUUAGCUAGUUGGUAAGGUAACGGCUUACCAAGGCAACGAUGCAUAGCCGACCUGAGAGGGUGAUCGGCCACACUGGAACUGAGACACGGUCCAGACUCCUACGGGAGGCAGCAGUAGGGAAUCUUCCGCAAUGGGCGAAAGCCUGACGGAGCAACGCCGCGUGAGUGAUGAAGGUCUUCGGAUCGUAAAACUCUGUUAUUAGGGAAGACAUAUGUGUAAGUAACUGUGCACAUCUUGACGGUACCUAAUCAGAAGGCCACGGCUAACUA